rnacentral:rRNA from 1 species
GGUCAAGUUAAGAAGAGCACUAGGAGAAUGCCUAGGCACCAAGAGGCGAAGAAGGACGUGACAAGCUGCGAAAAGCUACGGGUAGGAGCAAAUAUCCGAAGAACCGUAGAUAUCCGAAUGGGGAAACCCACCUCGUAAGAGGUAUCCCAUACCCAAUAAAUAAGUAUAGGAAGCGAACCAGGUGAACUGAAACAUCUAAGUAACCUGAGGAAAAGAAAGAAAACUCGAUUCCCGAAGUAGCGGCGAGCGAACAGGGAAGAGCCCAAAGUGCAGAAAGAAAAAAUAGCCAGUCGAAUCAUCUGGGAAGAAGAACCAAAGAGGGUAAAAGUCCCGUAGACGAAAGCGAAGAUAUCUAGCACAAAAGAGUACCACAGAACACGAG